rnacentral:misc_RNA from 2 species
AAUUCUCAACCUCUCCAGCUUUCACAAGUUGGUUGAGCGUUGGAUGUGGGGGUUGCGGGCUUCUCAGAGGUCGGCUCCCCUUAAAUACAUUAGCGGAAACCUUAUCCUUUCCUCUUGGUGUGAUAGUUUAUCUGCAUCUUGAUGAUUGGGUCUUUGCUGGUUUUUCUGCUUCUAACCGUCCAUUAGCUUGGACAAUUUCUUUUG